CGGGUCGGAUUCUCAACAAUGGCGGUAUCGCCUUGUUCAUUUCAAACCCUAGCAUUGGUGCUCGCACCAACGGAGCUUACAGAUUCGUUGCCUAGGGCAACAAGUCCAAGAACGAUCCCUUGCACCGGUCGAUUUGCGUUCGAUUUUACUGAUUCCGACUUCACAGGAUUGGAAGAUUCUCAAGAGCACUAGAGCAUAUUGCUCUAUUAUUUCUGGUCCAAUUUACAAGCGUACGAAUGAAUAUAAUGGAGAAGUUUUGUGCAUUCUAUGAUCUAAAGUUUAAGAAUUAACAUACAAUCGUCAUCAUCUGCCAUUUAUUUGCUAUUUUUGAUACCUGAAGCUGAAAAAACUAAUCCUUGAGCAAAAUCGUGUACAAGAUUUGAUUCCAAGUAUCAGGAACACCAGCAAGGCACCAAUGGCUGCAGUCCGUCAUUCCACCAGCGUACUUGGAUGGGUGCCCAUCUUUUCUCAACUGGAAACAGGAAGCUAAAAAAACAGAAAAUAGACCUCGGAAGCGAACAACCGUGAGGCUGCCACCGGAAGUUAAGGUACAUGUUAUCUGCUCUACCAUUCUUCUGGCAAUUC